ACAAAAGAUCUAUGUACCUGGAAAACCAUUUCUGGUGCAGUUUUAACCUAGCACAGAAACAAGAAUUUCAGGCAUGUAGUUCUGAUAAAACGGUACUAAAUCUACUAAAGCUUUGAAAGAGAAUUUAGAGUCAAACAUGCCGUGGCUCUGGGAUUCCGUGUUGUCAAGGUAACCAGCACCUUCCUUUUCUUGGUAAUGUGAACCUGCCAAACCAACGUCAGAGACACCUCUUGCUUUAGCUAGCCCGCCACCUGCCACUGAGUUAGACAGCUUUUCUUGGGUUGAAGAUCCUAAAAGAAAAGUCCAGUUUCUCCUCUUCCUCCCUGCCCUCCAACCUUCUUUAGAGAAAAAACUCCAUGCUUACUUUCAUGAAGUUGCAAAGCUGGGUCACGUCUUGAAGCUCUUAGGAAGAUGUACGUCUAUUUCAGACAUUUGCCCAGGCUCCAUGGCAAGUGUCAAUCCACACCAUUACCUUUUCCCUGAAACGACUUUGCAGAAAGCGUGGGAAUACUUAUUUAGCUUUCUCCCGACUAUUGUCGAGGUUGACGUAACGCAAGGCCAGGCCACACAGUGUUCCACCUGAAUGUUGUGACUCUAUUUUUGUUUUACACCCAGGAAGACUGAGACUGAAGCAAAGAAGAAAGUUCAUUAACUGAACCCGUUUAUCCAGAGCCCUCAGUGUUCAAGGACUCUGCCAGCAGCUGCCUGGGACGUAGGAAAAAAGACGAUUUAGUCCCCGUGCUCAAGGGUUUACAGACUACUGGAGGGUCUAAGCCAAAAUACCCAACAAUAAAUAGAAGUAGAAUAUAAUUAGGGUCAUCAGAGAGAUAUGGAGAUAGAUAGGAGGAAAAUGCUGCAUGAUCGCCAAGGACGACUAAUUGUUAAUUAGAUGGGAGUGGCCAAGAAGGCUUUGUGGAAGAGGUGGUAUUUGAAAUGGGCUUUGACAGAAUUUCUACAAUGGAUUUUUUUCGAGGAGGGUAUUCAAAAAGCAGGGUGGAAAAGGAAGGCCAAACCGGCAAGUUCAAGGAUUCGUGGCCCCGAACUGCUAACCCUGCUAACUUCUCCCUCCAGUGAUUUAGACCGUGAGGCGUCACGAAUUGAUUUGAUACGAAACACCUGUAGAAGGGAUUACAGGAUGCUAAUCUUGUCCAGGUGAAGAGAAAAUCGAUUUGGAGAGGAACAACUUCUAUUUUAUCAUAUAAAUAAAAACUAUGGGGGCUAUGAAUGUCA
rnacentral:lncRNA from 1 species